rnacentral:rRNA from 1 species
GACGAACGCUGGCGGCGUGCUUAACACAUGCAAGUCGAGCGAUGAAGUUCCUUCGGGAGUGGAUUAGCGGCGGACGGGUGAGUAACACGUGGGUAACCUGCCUCGUAGAGGGGAAUAGCCUUCCGAAAGGAAGAUUAAUACCGCAUAAGAUUGUAGUACCGCAUGGUAUAGCAAUUAAAGGAGUAAUCCGCUAUGAGAUGGACCCGCGUCGCAUUAGCUAGUUGGUGAGGUAACGGCUCACCAAGGCGACGAUGCGUAGCCGACCUGAGAGGGUGAUCGGCCACAUUGGGACUGAGACACGGCCCAGACUCCUACGGGAGGCAGCAGUGGGGAAUAUUGCACAAUGGGGGAAACCCUGAUGCAGCAACGCCGCGUGAGUGAUGACGGUCUUCGGAUUGUAAAACUCUGUCUUCAGGGACGAUAAUGACGGUACCUGAGGAGGAAGCCACGGCUAACUACGUGCCAGCCGCCGCCGUAA